GUUGCUAAUAGAUUUGAGAAACAUAAUACUAUUAACAUUUAAAAAAAAAAAAAGAGUCUUUUUGAAAAUAUCAUACGUUUUCUGAUUUUGCAGUUUGAUUUUUGUGUCAUUUUCCUGUAAUAAACCUACUAUGCAAGACAGACAAUCUAGUGUUUUCCAUUGUGAGUGUUUAGGAGGACAUAAUGUUGUAGUCCUUUAACACUGAUGACAUUUUAAGCAACAGAUUAUACCCACAGUUUAUAGAUCAUCUAUUUUACAUUUCAGAUUUUUAAAAUUCUUCAAUAAAUAAAUACUCUUGGCCCUGGUGAUUUGAUGCUGUUCAGUUUAUUUACUUGUUAUUUUACCUAUUUUACUCAGAAUUCAGGCUGAGACCUUUCCUCAACAUUUCAUACAGUAAAUAGUGCACCUGAUGUGAGAACAUCUGAGAUCUCCUCUGUAACGCCCAUAGAGGUGAAGGCCCUUUGGCUGUAAGCUUUCCCAGCUGAGUUUAAGAGGACUACUACUAACAGCAAAUGAGAUUUUUCAGUGGCUCAAUAGGAAAUAACAUAAAAGGAUUAAAUUGCAGAAAAUAUAGCCUAUCACAGUUGCCAUAUGUUGUUUACCACAGUCCAAACUAAGUGAUCAAGGAAAAUCUUGAGCAUGUUGAAACCUACAGGUAAGAUUUAUAGUUCUGCAGUGUGUAUACUUACUCAAGGUCUCUUUGAUUAUAUUACAUAUUUAGCCAUAUUAUGAUUACCUUCAUUGCAUGGCUGCUUGAUCAGCAAACCUGUUAUAUGAUUCAGCCCCUUGGUUAAUGUUUAGAGUAUAGUGUUGUGUACUCUAAUAGCAGUCAGAGGAUG
rnacentral:lncRNA from 1 species